ACUUCCUUGCCUCCACUGUGAGACAAACCCCACCCACAUCUCCAGCACACAAGAACUUCCAAACGCCUAAAUCGCAGUGGCCAGGCAUUCCUCCAGGCCUGCCUCCCCCAGGGGCUUGCUACAAGUGCCAGAAAUCUGGCCAUGAGGCCAAGGAAUGCCCGCAGCCCGGGAUUCGUCCUAAGCUGCGUCCCAUCUGUGCAGGACCCCACUGAAAAUCGGACUGUUCAACUCAUCUGGCAGCCACUCCCAGAGCCCCUGGAACUCUGGCCCAAGCCUCUCUGACUGACUCCUUCCCAGAUCUUCUCGGCUUAGCAGCUGAAGACUGACACUGCCCAAUCGCCUUGGAAGCCCCCUAGACCAUCACGGAUGCCGAGCUUCGAGUAACUCUCACAGUGGAGGGUAAAGGAACGCGCAUGAAAAAACCAAACAAACAAAAAAAUUUCUUUUGGUAGCAGAAUAAAAAAACAAAAAAAAGGACUUUUUCUUCUGGACUGAACUAUAUUUAAAUCUCAAAGGAUGGACAUCUCACAACCUUCCUACAGCAAGUACUGUGAGAGAACUCAAAGGGGGAGAGAAAAAGACGAAAAAUAUCUUCAAAGAGGAGAACAAAUCUGAUCUUUCUCUACGUCUGCUUAGUUGGCGUAACUUUAGGAUGUCCAUAAGUUGUAGCUUUCCUGGGAAAAUUUCCAUGUAAAGGUGUGCUGCUUUCCCUUUGCCUUCCGCCAUUAUUGAAAGUUUCCUGAGGCCUCCCCAGCCAUGCUACCUGUACGACCUGUGAAACCAUAAGCCAAGAAAAGAUACUAGCGCCAGUCUGGCAGGGGCCUUUUCUAGUCUCAAGCACGCUGAGCAGUCCUACACCUUGCCUUCUGAGAGAGAAGAGGACAGUCCUCAGCCUCCUGAAGCCUGGCAAGGGUGCCUUAGUGAGGACAUCACCUGCAACUCCCAGAUGGAUAGACGAGGCCAUGGAGAGAGGAGAACACCAACCCAUGAGUGACAAGUGCCUGUCAUUGUCAAUGAUGCUGCAAGCACCACGAUGCCCCUUCUUAGCAGGGACCCAGUGGGCCUUACCAGCUUCAUUAUUUUCUAGGCAUGAUCGCAUCCUGUCUCCCAUUUUUGCUAAAAUUCUAUCUAGAGAAAGAGCUCAUUUUUAGCUAAAAAAAAAAAAAUCCUGUUUUAUCUGCUAAAAAAUCUCACAGCACAGUCCAUCAAUCUUACAAGCAGUUCUAAUAGUUCCUGGAUUUGGAAUUUGAUGCAGAGCUUGAUGCAGGCUUUGUAUGAACAGAUGCUUAUAUAAAAGCUAAAAUAGGUGGGUAUUAAAAGGAUUAAGUGAUUCAGUAGAGUAUCUCAGCCAGCCAUAAUUCAAG
rnacentral:lncRNA from 10 species